AUUGAACGCUGGCGGCACGCUUAACACAUGCAAGUCGAACGGUAACAGUAUUGAGUUUCUAGCUUGCUAGAAACAAGAUAGCUGACGAGUGGCGGACGGGUGAGUAACACGUAGGAAUCUACCCUAAAGUGGGGGACAACUCGAGGAAACUCGAGCUAAUACCGCAUAUUUUCUUAGGAACAAAGCUGGGGACCUUUCGGGGCCUGGCGCUUUAAGAUGAGCCUGCGCCGGAUUAGCUAGUUGGAGUGGUAAAGGCACACCAAGGCGACGAUCCGUAGCUGGUCUGAGAGGACGAACAGCCACACUGGGACUGAGACACGGCCCAG
rnacentral:rRNA from 1 species